CGGCAGAGUUACCGUCUGACACGAAAGACAGCUGAGCACCUAGCGGACAUUUGAACCGCAAGUGAUGGAAACCACGGAGAUCAUUUUAUGCACCUUCAUCGGCUCUCACUACUUCGGCACCAUCCUCUUCUACUUGUGGCUUGUCAUCUGCGGGACACCUACAGAACUCACCAACUAUGGAUUACUUGAUUAAAAUUGGGCCACCUGAUCCUGUUUGCGCCAUGACAACCGACCAGAAUUAGAGCAAGAUAAGUCGUUAUGGAUAGUUGUGCAAAUGGUGCAUUCCCUGCUCAGAGAACUGGUGUCAAAAGCAGAAUUUCAAUCUCACGAUAUCGCAUCUAUUUGCGCGUAAAGGACGUGGACAUAACGGCUUCUUUCAACGCUGUCUGAAAUACUCUGCGCUAUGUUUUAGUUAUUAUGGGAGAACGCAGUAGUUAGAAUAGAGGGUGUGUUUGCGAGACUGGUUUGUUACUGCUGGCUUUAAUGUGAGAGUGGCGAACAGCUUUUAGUGCGCGCAUACCAGUUGUCCGCUGCAGAUCAGCCGCUCCGUUACCACAGGCGAUCCACCGCAAUCUUUGACAGACAACAGGCCUCACCAACCAUUGCAAAAGGUUUAAUUGAAAAUCCCUUUUCAACUCCUCUCAUUUGAACUUCCACUACAACCGAGAGAGUUUUUAAAGCUGCGCCCAAUUGCACCUGUGAGGCAGGAGUAAGCCAUGGCUUUACCAGAUAGUGGCAUGUCUGGGGAGGAGGUACCCUUCCCAGAGAUUGUAGAGCUCAAUGUGGGCGGCCAGGUGUACAUAACCCGAUAUUCUACCCUCACAAGUGUGCCAGACUCCCUGCUAUGGGAGAUGUUCAGUCGAAAGUCAGCCAAAGGACUGGCCAGGGACACCAAGGGUCGCUUCUUUGUGGACCGUGAUGGUUUCCUGUUCCGUUACAUCCUGGACUACAUGCGAGACCAGCAGCUGGUUCUGCCAGACCACUUCCCUGAGCGCGGGCGUCUGCAGAGAGAGGCUGAGUUCUUCAACCUGCCAGAGCUUGUCAAACUGCUGGUGCCCAAAAUCAGCAAGCAGAACUCGCUUGGCGACGAGGGAUGUCAGAGCGACCCGGAGGACUCCUCACCUGGGAUUGACAUGGCCCCUAACCUCAGCUCCCUGGGUGCUGUCGCUGCUGCCUGUGCCAGCCUGGUGCCCGGUACCAUGGAUGGCAAACGGUCUGGGUUCAUCACUAUUGGCUACCGAGGCUCAUACACCCUGGGCCGUGACAGCCACACCGAUGCCAAAUUCCGCCGGGUGGCACGGAUCAUGGUGUGUGGGAAAACCUCUCUGGCCAAAGAGGUGUUUGGGGAGACGCUGAACGAGAGUCGUGACCCCGACCGCCCCCCUGAGCGCUACACAUCCCGCUACUAUCUGAAGUUCACCUUUCUGGAGCAGGCGUUUGACAAGCUGGCUGAUGCAGGCUUCCACAUGGUGGCCUGUAAUUCCACAGGAACCUGCGCCUUUGCCCAUGAGCAGACGGACGACAAGAUCUGGACCAGCUACACUGAAUAUGUGUUCUACCGUGAGUGAGACUAUCGGCUUUGUUCCCCUGGUCCCCCAUCCUGUCUCCAAGUGCCCCCCCCCCUCCAGCUUCCAGCCAUCCUGUCCUUCUCUCUCUCUGAUGGCUCCUGCACCAGUAGAUGUACCAUAGAUGUUGUGCCCCUCCAUCUCUCUCAGCAGCCUCCAGCUUUUAUCCUAUGAACAGUUACCCAGCUGCUGCUCCGACUCUUCAGACCUUCUCUCAACCCCAGAUCCAUUCCCCUCAUCCUCAGGUCCAGCUUUUGCCUUUCCUUAAACCGCCGCUCCAUCUAGUUGUAGUCCCCGGUCCUCAACCACAGCAACCCCACAGCCUGUCCUGCAGAGACUGAUACCUUCUAUAUACUAUACUCCCCUUUGUACUUUAUGUAUUGCAUCUGCCUUGGUAAAGCACAAUAUUGUAUCCAAGAGCUCAUUUUGUUAAAUAUGUGCCCCGGUGUGUCAAAAUGACUAUUAAAGCAGUCACAAGGGCAUAGGGGAAAGGGCUUCGAAGAGUGGCCGUGAUGUACAGUGCUAGACUUUGCCUGCUUACUCAAGCAGAUCGGACUCUCUCCUGCUCCUCUGAACUAAAUUACCAAAUAAUUGGACAUCUUAUCAGCCUUGAGGGACGUGAGCAGCCCAAGCACAAGAAAGAAAUGCAACACAAAAAUCUAAUUUCCUUUAGUUUUUUCUUAAAUGUGUCGAGUACCAUGUGGUUGGGAACGUGCCACACAGUAGUUUAUCUGUUCAGUUGUUGUUAUGAAUGAAUGAGACUUGUGAUAAUACAGCCACAUGGACAGUGGGGGGAAAAAGCAUUGAGCUUUUUAUUUUGAAAGGGAACAGUAGAUUGUAGGUGUGUAGAGUUUCCUCUUCAAAAUUACGCUUAUUGUGUGGCAAAUGAACAAGCAGCAGGUUUUGAUAAACAACGAUGAAAGCGGAAAUAUCAAGAGAUCUCAUAGACAGAAAGAAAAAAAUGAAAGAAAGGGUAGGAUUACGUGUAAAGCCAGCCAUAGCCCAAUGUUUUCUCACUACUGUACAAGGGCAUGUUUAUAGCCAGCGGGUAUAACUUCAGUUAUAAAGAAGUGAGUUAAGAAAGAGAGUCAUUCCCAGAUACAGCCUCAGGACACAUCUGCACAUCAUAUACAGUACCUCAGACUAAAACACAAACUGAAGGCACUUAAGACUAAGCUGAUGACAUACAAAUGCAGACAACGUUAGGAAAAUUUCCCAAAUGUAGAUGCUGUAACAAGAUUAUGAAUAAGAGGUUGAAUAUAAAGUUUUAGUUGAGAAACAGCCAUCGAGGCAGUGUAGUGCAGGAUUUCUCCUGAGCUAGAUGGUGUCAGGUUGUAGUUUUGGCAGAAUGUCUGACAGUGACAAUAAAUAUAUUCUGAGAUGUCUAGAAACCGCAAUGUUGUGUUUCAGUGUGAUGAAGUGCUGUUGACAUCUGAGUCAUUAUAUUAGACCUGCUGCAGUGUGUUGCUGCAGGUGUAGACAACACUGAAAUGAAAGUGUUCAGCAAAAAGCGAAAUUUAUUUGUCAAAUAAAAGAUGUUUUCUUUCUA